CAGGCCUAUGCCAGUGCUAGGAGAGUGGUGAACAAGACAGACAGGGCUCCCUGCCCUCCUGGAGUUUACAUUCUAGUAGGGGAGACCAACAAAAACAACUAACUGUACUGAAGUUGCAACAAUAGCCCAGAGAAUUCUGGAUGCCCUUCUCCCAGCAUCCCUAAGGCCAACAUUUACAUGACCCUGGUCCAAUAGUGAGAACUAAGAAAUCACACCGGGAGGUUUUUACGUAAGUGCUUCAUACUGACUCUGGGAGGGUGGGGCGAACCUCAGGGAGCCCCAGAUACUUUUUACAGCCUUUUCGAAGCCACUUCACAUCCAGUGUCUUGUUUGUCUCUCACAAGGAAUUGUCACUGCCCCCUCACUUCACUCCACUGACCAGUGGAGGAAGUGAUGCCCGAGAGGUACAUUUCCCACCUAGUAGGGCAAGGCUGCUCCUGGACCCCAACUCUCCAUACUGCCCCCCUCCCCGUGCUGUCCCCACAUUAUGACAAUGCAUCUUCUAGAGGCCAUGGGGACUUACCUGGGGCCCCUGCUGCAGGGAGGGGACAUGGCAUCUCAGAGACACACAGUGGCAGAGGGUGGCAAACUCCUUCUGUCCUCUCUCGUCUCCUGGAGAGAAAAACAACAGAGAAGACCCUCCCUGGACCCCCUUGAUUCCAAAUAAAGGUCUCAGAAGAGCCGGCUGCUGGGCAGUCCCCUUUGACCGCCACAGUAAGGACCCUGCAGUUGAGAGGACAUGGGAAACGGGCAGAGGAGCUCACGGCGGGAGCCGAGGACCUCCUGUGGGCCAGGACACGUCUCUUCUGACCAUCUCCGACCCAAGAAGCGGAGCGGACUUCUCCUCCUUUUACGGAUGAUGAGGAGGAGGCUCAGAGAGGCCAGGCGCCUUUUCUGAGGUGACACAGCCCGAGGAGCUGGAUCCACGAGAGGGACUCAAUUGCCCCCUAGUGCCAAUGCUGGUCUCUGACAUCAUUAAUCAGCAGGAGGUGAAGCCUGGCGGACGGACACCACUGGGGAGGCAGGGGCAGGCGAGCACCCGGCCUCCCCCACCGUGGCCUUGAAGGCAGGCCCAUGGGGAGGAGCCUGGGCCCCAGGGCUUGACUCCCGGCUCAGCCACUUAUAAUCCUUGAGGCUCUGAAAGUCACUUCUCCUCUCCUGGCCUCAGUUUUCCCUUCUGUAAAAUGGGGACAAUGACUCCCCAUGACCUGAGGGUCUGUCAGGAGCGUUAAGUGAGGAGCUGGUGAGACGGAGCCCAACUCCUUCCCAGCACCUGUACGCGCCCGGCCCUCUGGGCAGCAUGGAGAGGUCUCCACGUGCUCGGGGCUCCUCUGGGGUCUUGCUGGGUCCCUGAGGAGGAAGUUCUUGAACCUGGCCGCUCACCAGAAUCACCUUUCAGUCAAUAAAGUAGUCGUCCCCUCCUCCAGCCCUCCUACGUCAAUUCCGGGACAAUGGCCUGGGAGCCUGUGUCUUCUCAGAUUCUGCUGCUGAUGCUGAUGGGCAGCUGGGGAACGACCAGGUCUUCGGCAGCAGACGUGGGAACCGAGAGAAAGCCCGGUGCAGGGGCCCAGUCUCUUCCGUGCUGUCCACUCUCGCUCACUGCUUUGUCGUUGUCUUUCGCAGAAUUCUCCGUCCUGGUGGCUGAAAGCUAAGAGGCUCUGACGGCCCCGGGUCCUCCACCUCUCCGCCCCGGACCCCUGAUCUCAGCCCCUCUUGCCACCCUCCUGCGUUUCUGUUGAGUUUGUUUAUGUUAUUUUUUACUCCCCCCUGUGCCCUGCGGCCCUCGAGUGACACCGUUCUUCUGGAAAAUGCUGGAGAAACAAUAAAGGCUGUACCAA
rnacentral:lncRNA from 1 species